AAUUCAACUGUGAAACCAAAGGGUGGUGGCGGUAGCUGGUUCCGUGGUCUUUUCAGUCGGUUUGGUGGUAAAAACGAUGUUCACCUGCCAGAUGAUAGUGACAAAACAAUUGAAUGGGAUGAAAAGAAGCAAAAAUGGGUGAAUAAAGAUAGCGAUGGAGAUGAUAAUGAUGGUAUAGUUGC